AUUGAACGCUGGCGGCAGGCUUAACACAUGCAAGUCGAGCGGGGAAAGGUAGCUUGCUACUUAACCUAGCGGCGGACGGGUGAGUAAUGCUUAGGAAUCUGCCUAUUAGUGGGGGACAACAUCUCGAAAGGGAUGCUAAUACCGCAUACGUCCUACGGGAGAAAGCAGGGGACCUUCGGGCCUUGCGCUAAUAGAUGAGCCUAAGUCGGAUUAGCUAGGUGGUGGGGUAAAGGCCUACCAAGUCGACGAUCUGGAGCGGGUCUGAGAGGAUGAUCCGCCACACUGGGACUGAGACACGGCCCAGACUCCUACGGGAGGCAGCAGUGGGGAAUAUUGGACAAUGGGGGGAACCCUGAUCCAGCCAUGCCGCGUGUGUGAAGAAGGCCUUUUGGUUGUAAAGCACUUUAAGCGAGGAGGAGGCUACCGAGAUUAAUACUUUUGGAUAGUGGACGUUACUCGCAGAAUAAGCACCGGCUAACUCUGUGCCAGCCGCCGCAGUAA
rnacentral:rRNA from 1 species